CCUACGGGUGGCAGCAGUGGGGGAUAUUGCACAAUGUGGGAAACCCUGAUGCCGCGACGCAGCGUGGGUGAAGAAGUCUUUCGGUAUGUAAAGCCCUAUUAGCCGGGAAGUAAGAAGACGGUACCUGACUAAGAAGCACCGGCUAACUACGUGCGAGCAGCCGCGGUAAUACGUAGGGGGCGCGCGUUAUCCGGAUUCACUGGGUGUAAAGGGAGCGUAGAUGGCCGGGCAAGCCAGUAGUGAAAGCCCGGGGCCCAACCCCGGGACUGCACUUGGAAAUGGGCGGUUAGAGUGCGGGUGGGGCAGGCGGAAUUCGUGGUGUAGCGGUGAAAUGCGUAGAUAUCAGGAGGAACACCGACGGCGAAGGCAGCCUGCUGAACCGCGACUGACGUUGAGGAUCGAAAGCGUGGGGAGCGAACAGGAUUAGAUACCCCUGUAGUC
rnacentral:rRNA from 1 species